rnacentral:rRNA from 1 species
CCUACGGGUGGCAGCAGUGAGGAAUAUUGGUCAAUGGGCGGGAGCCUGAACCAGCCAAGUCGCGUGAGGGAAGACGGUCCUAUGGAUUGUAAACCUCGUUAGGCGGGGAGCAAGGCAGGGCACGUGUGCCCGGAGGGAGAGGACCCGCAGAAGAAGCAUCGGCUAACUCCGUGCCAGCAGCCGCGGUAAUACGGAGGAUGCGAGCGUUAGCCGGAUUUAGUGGGUUGACAGGGUGCGUAGGCGGCAUGGUAAGCCAGAGGUGAAAGCCUUGGGCUUAACCCGAGGCUUGCAUUUGGAACUCUCACGCUAGAGUACAGGAGAGGCAAGCGGACUUCCUAGUGUAGCGG